AUUGAACGCUGGCGGCAGGCUUAACACAUGCACGUCGAACGAGUGGCGGACGGGUGAGUAAUGCAUGGGAAUCUUGAUUAUGGAGGGGGAUAACUACGGGAAACUUUAGCUAAUACCGCGUACCUUAGGAUGAGCCAAAGUGGGAUUAGGGAGGUGGUGAGGUAAAGGCUCACCAAGCCGACGAUCUUUAGCUGGUCUGAGAGGAUGAACAGCCACACUGGGACUGAGAGACGGCCCAGACUCAUACGGGAGGCAGCAGUGGGGAAUAUUGCGCAAUGGGGGCAACCUGAUGCAGCCAUGCCGCGUGAAUGAAGAAGGCCUGCGGGUUGAAAAGUUCUUUCGGUAGCGAGGCGUUAACUACAGAAGAAGCACCGGCUCACUCCGUGCCAGCAGCCGCGGUAAUUC
rnacentral:rRNA from 1 species